AAGUCGUAACAAGGUCUCCGUUGGUGAACCAGCGGAGGGAUCAUUACCGAGUUUACAACUCCCAAACCCAUGUGAACAUACCUACUGUUGCUUCGGCGGGAUUGCCCCGGGCGCCUCGUGUGCCCCGGAUCAGGCGCCCGCCUAGGAAACUUAACUCUUGUUUUAUUUUGGAAUCUUCUGAGUAGUUUUUACAAAUAAAUAAAAACUUUCAACAACGGAUCUCUUGGUUCUG
rnacentral:misc_RNA from 2 species